CAGUCAGGGUCUACCAGCCCAGGGUAGGCCUCCCACCUUCUUUCCUCACCCAUCCCAUUUGCCUGAACACAUGAGUGGUCCCCUUGGUCAGAUCUUGGUCUCAGCUUCUGGCCAGUGGAGCCUGGAGGUGUCUCUUAGUGGAAACAUUCCUUUCGUGGGUGUAAAAACUCUAAACCAGCAGAGUCCAGAGUUAGGGGGACCGGACGCAGAACGUCUGGCCCUGGGGAAGAUUAGCAGGACUAAUCUGUCCUGCUCGGCCACCACUGGCUCCCGCACUAGGGGUGCAGGUCGGGGAGGGACUCACCCUGCCACAGACUGGAGCCCAGGGCUGGGUGUUUGUUUGGGGUUGUUUUGUUCUGUUCUGUUCGGCAGUAAAUGAUGAAAGAAUGUAUUGAGGAAUCUGGAAGUUGGGCGGUUCCAGGAUUGGCUAAUGUGCUGUUGAUGUCUUCAGACCCAGAUCCUUCUGUCUUUCGUCACUGUUAUCUUGAGCCUUGGGAUUUGUCCUCACCCUCCGAUUCACAGGCCAGCUCCGUGUCAUGGGCUACUCUUAACGACAGCAAAUCCCUUGACAUCGGCACCUGCGUGCUCUGGGAGCAGCCGUCCAGCCAUCGUGCCGGUUUUGGGUCACCACUAACGGCCACAGCAGCACCAAGUGUGGCACACGCCACCUCGAACGUCCAGAGGGGGUGCCCUCUUCUAAGUGGCCAGGGCCACCUGUCCUUCGGCUGUGGCAUAGUGAGACGGCAGGGGGAAGGCACAGAAUCAGCGAGCUGGCACAGUCCUGAAGCAGGCUCUCUGAGGAGUGGAAGACUAUACAGCUGUGCAAAAGGACUUCUGGGACCCCUCGUGUGCUGAUGUGAAAGAGAUGCAAGACACACCAUCAACUUGGA
ensembl:lncRNA